rnacentral:rRNA from 1 species
GAGUUUGAUCCUGGCUCAGAUUGAACGCUGGCGGCAGGCCUAACACAUGCAAGUCGAGCGGAUGAAGGGAGCUUGCUCCUGGAUUCAGCGGUGGACGGGUGAGUAAUGCCUAGGAAUCUGCCUGGUAGUGGGGAUAACGUCCGGAAACGGGCGCUAAUACCGCAUACGUCCUGAGGGAGAAAGUGGGGGAGUCUUCGGACCUCACGCUAUCAGAUGAGCCUAGGUCGGAUUAGCUAGUUGGUGGGGUAAAGGCCUACCAAGGCGACGAUCCGUAACUGGUCUGAGAGGAUGAUCAGUCACACUGGAACUGAGACACGGUCCAGACUCCUACGGGAGGCAGCAGUGGGGAAUAUUGGACAAUGGGCGAAAGCCUGAUCCAGCCAUGCCGCGUGUGUGAAGAAGGUCUUCGGAUUGUAAAGCACUUUAAGUUGGGAGGAAGGGCAGUAAGUUAAUACCUUGCUGUUUUGACGUUACCAACAGAAUAAGCACCGGCUAACUUCGUGCCAGCAGCCGCCGU